rnacentral:lncRNA from 1 species
CUUGGGAUAACUCACAAAUCUACAUCGUUUUGAUCUAGCAUCCAGCUUAUGUCCAUAAAUAUUUUUUACAUAAGUCGGGUAACUCCAAAUCUUAAGAUGUGUAAGACUGGAUCUUUUUUCUUUCCAUAUGGAGUGCUAGAGAUAGAUUUGGAAGGCACUUUAUUAAAAACAUACGUUGCGGCUUCGAGAGCAUAUCCCCAA